CAGAUUGAACGCUGGCGGCAUGCCUUACACAUGCAAGUCGAACGGCAGCACGGGAGCAAUCCUGGUGGCGAGUGGCGAACGGGUGAGUAAUAUAUCGGAACGUGCCCAGUCGUGGGGGAUAACGUAGCGAAAGCUACGCUAAUACCGCAUACUAUCUAUGGAUGAAANCGGGGGAUCGCAAGACCUCGCGCGAUUGGAGCGGCCGAUAUCAGGAUUAGGUAGUUGGUGAGGUAAAGGCUCACCAAGCCGACGAUCUGUAGCUGGUCUGAGAGGACGACCAGCCACACUGGAACUGAGACACGGUCCAGACUCCUACGGGAGGCAGCAGUGGGGAAUUUUGGACAAUGGACGCAAGUCUGAUCCAGCCAUUCCGCGUGCAGGAUGAAGGCCCUCGGGUUGUAAACUGCUUUUGUACGGAACGAAAAGGUUUCUAUUAAUACUAGGAGCUCAUGACGGUACCGUAAGAAUAAGCACCGGCUAACUACGUG
rnacentral:rRNA from 1 species